UACGGAGGGUGCAAACGUUGCUCGGAAUUAUUGGGCGUAAAGCGCGCGCAGGCGGUCCCUUAAGUCUGAUGUGAAAGCCCACGGCUCAACCGUGGAGGGUCAUUGGAAACUGGGGGACUUGAGUACAGAAGAGGAAAGCGGAAUUCCACGUGUAGCGGUGAAAUGCGUAGAGAUGUGGAGGAACACCAGUGGCGAAGGCGGCUUUCUGGCCUGUAACUGACGCUGAGGCGCGAAAGCGUGGGGAGCAAACAGG
rnacentral:rRNA from 1 species